UACGAAGGGGGCUAGCGUUGCUCGGAAUCACUGGGCGUAAAGGGUGCGUAGGCGGGUCUUAAGUCAGGGGUGAAAUCCUGGAGCUCAACUCCAGAACUGCCUUUGAUACUGAGGAUCUUGAGUUCGGGAGAGGUGAGUGGAACUGCGAGUGUAGAGGUGAAAUUCGUAGAUAUUCGCAAGAACACCAGUGGCGAAGGCGGCUCACUGGCCCGAUACUGACGCUGAGGCACGGAAAGCGUGGGGAGCAAACAGGG
rnacentral:rRNA from 1 species